rnacentral:rRNA from 1 species
UUUGAUCAUGGCUCAGAUUGAACGCUGGCGGGAUACUUUACAUGCAAGUCGAACGGCAGCACGGACUUCGGUCUGGUGGCGAGUGGCGAACGGGUGAGUAAUGUAUCGGAACGUGCCUAGUAGCGGGGGAUAACUACGCGAAAGCGUAGCUAAUACCGCAUACGCCCUUCGGGGGAAAGCAGAGGCGCUUCGGGCCUCGCACUAUUAGAGCAGCCGAUAUCGGAUUAGUUGGUGGGGUAACGGCUCACCAAGGCGACGAUCCGUAGCUGGUUUGAGAGGACGACCAGCCGCACUGGGACGAGACACGGCCCGAACUCCUACGGGAGGCGAGUGGGGAAUUUUUGGACAAUGGAAACCCUGAUCCAGCCAUCCCGCGUGUGCGAUGAAGGCCUUCGGGUUGUAAAGCACUUUGGCAGAGAAACGGCGCGGGAUAAUACCCCGUGCAACUGACGGCUACCUACAGAAUAAGCACCGGCUAACUACGUGCCAGCAGCCGCGGUAAUACGUAGAAGUGCAAGCGUUAAUCGGAAUUACUGGGCGUAAAGCGUGCAGGCGGUUCGGAAAGAAGAUGUGAAAUCCCAGAGCUUAACUUUGGAACUGCAUUUUUAACUACCGAGCUAGAGUGUGUCAGAGGGAGUGGAAUUCCGCGUGUAGCAGUGAAAUGCGUAGAUAUGCGGAGGAACACCGAUGGCGAAGGCAGCCUCCUGGGAUAACACUGACGCUCAUGCAGAAAGCGUGGGGAGCAAACAGGAUUAGAUACCCUGGUAGUCGCCUAAACGAUGUCAACUAGCUGUUGGGGCCUUCGGGCCUUGGUAGCCGCAGCUAACGCGUGAAGUUGACCACCUGGGAAUACGGUCGCAAGAUUAAAACUCAAAGGAAUUGACGGGGACCCGCACAAGCGGUGGAUGAUGUGGAUUAAUUGAUGCAACGCGAAAAACCUUACCCUUGACAUGUCUAGAUCCCGAAGAGAUUUGGGAGUGCUCGCAAGGGAACCGGAACACAGGUGCUGCAUGGCUGUCGUCAGCUCGUGUCGUGAGAUGUUGGGUUAAGUCCACAACGAGCGCAACCCUUGUCAUUAGUUGCUACGAAAGGGCACUCUAAUGAGACUGCCGGUGACAAACCGGAGGAAGGUGGGGAUGACGUCAAGUCCUCAUGGCCCUUAUGGGUAGGGCUUCACACGUCAUACAAUGGUCGGGACAGAGGGUCGCCAACCCGCGGAGGGGAGCCAAUCCCAGAAACCCGAUCUCAGUCCGGAUCGCAGUCUGCAACUCGACUGCGUGAAGUCGGAAUCGCUGGUAAUCGCGGAUCAGCAUGUCGCGGUGAAUACGUUCCCGGUGCUUGUACACACCGCCCGUCACACCAUGGGGUAGGUUUUACCAGAAGUAGUUAGCCUAACCGUAAGGAGGGCGAUUACCACGGUAAGUUCAUGACUGGGGCAAAGUCGUAACUGGGUAA